CAAGCCCUAACAGAACACCGCCGUCGCCGCAACAGCCCUGCCAGCUCCGUCAGACCCCCUGUGCGGUGUAUAUACAUGUCACCCUGCCCCUCGACCUUGGUGCAAAGCGAAAUCACCAAAUCGCAUAGCCGCCGCGUGGGAGAAAAAGCCAGAAAUCGACGCUGCCGUCAAUACCCGUGUACUCCAUUGCCCAAGCUCUGUCUCGAGUCUAACAGAGUCCGCGUGCGCUCUCUGAUUGUUGGCACGGCAGUGAGUGGGCACUAGGCGCACUUGAGCAUCCUGAAUCGCUCGCUGGAGUCAUAGCGCCGCCGCGCG
rnacentral:lncRNA from 7 species